AUUGAAAGAUGAGAUUGGCUCAAGAUAACAUAGUAAUUAUAGUAAAGAUUUAGGUUACAUAUGCUCUAUAAUAUAAAUAUAGCAAUAUUAAAAUUGUUUGUGCAGAUUGCAAUGGAGAACAAUCAAAAAAGUGGUCAAGAAGCUGUUCUUGGUGGUCAGUGUGAAUCUAGUUUACAAGUCUCGGGUGAUCUCACUUUGAUAAAUCAAAAGUCGGUUGAGAUUUUUGUCGAAGAAGACGACAUUUCACUCGGUGAAUCUGAGGAAGACUAUGAACUGGCCAACAAAGAGGAUCUACUUGAAACUGAAGAUAUUGAUGCUUUAGAAGCAAACAAUGAGAAUGAGAAGAAAGAUGAACUUUGUAUUGGAAUGGAGUUUAGUUCUGAAGAUACUGCGCAUAUGGCUUAUAGUAAGUAUGCAGGCAAUCAUGGUUUCAACAUAAGAAAACAAAGGAGGACCAAAAAAAAAAAAGAUGAUGAAAAGGUAGCAAGGAUUCUUUAUGUAUGCUCAAAAGAGGGGGUUAGGAAGGAGCCUAAGGUCAAUAGAUCUUAUACCCGACCAAUCACAAGGUGUGGUUGUAAAGCUCACAUGGCUUGCUACCUUCAGAGUAGCGGAAGAUAUAGGAUUGUGUCUUUCAACCAGAAUCAUAACCAUGACUUAGUGAGGACACCUAUGAAGCAUUUGCUGAAGGGAAAUCGAGCAGUCACUGUCUCUCAAAAACAACAUGCUGACGAUGCUGAAAUGUCAGGAAUUUCAGCAAAAGCAACCAUUGAAAUGAUGAGCAGAGAAGUUGGGGGGAGAGAAAAUCUAGGUUUUUUGGAUAAAGACUAUCGCAAUUACAUAUGCCGUAAACGGAUGGCAGAAAUGGAAAAGGGAGAUGCUGGAGCAGUUUUAGAAUACUUUCAGAAAAAGAAAGAAGAUAAUUCCUCAUUUUUUUAUUCAAUGCAACUUGAUAAGGACGAUAUGAUCACAAAUAUCUUCUGGGUGGAUGAUCGGUCUAUAAGCGAUUACAAUCUCUUUGGAGAUGUUGUUUGUUUUGACACAACUUAUAAGACCAAUGAAUAUGAUAGACCGUUUGCUCCAUUUGUCGGGGUAAAUCAUCAUAAGCAGACUGUUGUGUUCGGAGCUGCCCUCUUAUAUGAUGAAACUACUGAGUCUUUUAAGUGGCUUUUUGAGACUUUUCUUGGAGCAAUGUCUGGAAAACAACCAAAAACGAUUCUUACAGACCAAUCUGCAGCAAUGGCGAAUGCAAUAGUGAAAGUGUUUCCAGAAACAAUACAUAGGUUAUGUGUCUGGCAUAUUUACGUAAAUGCUGCAAAGAAUUUGAGUCGUGUGUUUCACGGACCAGACCAGUUUGCCAUGGAUUUUGGAAAGUGUGUAUAUGACCAUGAGGAAGAAGAAGAUUGGUUAUUGGCAUGGAGUGAUAUGCUCAAUAAGCAUAAGCUGACAGAGAAUAAAUGGUUGAAGAAUUUGUUUGAGGUGAAAGAAAAAUGGGCAAUGGUAUAUGGCCGUCAUACUUUUACAGCCGAUAUGGUGAGCACACAGCGUAGCGAAAGUAUGAACAGUAUUUUGAAAAGAUACUUGAAGCGCAAUUUUGACCUGUUGACCUUUUUUAAACACUAUGAGAGAGUGUUGGAUGAUAGGCGAUAUAAAGAAUUAGUUGCUGAUUUUGGUAUGAUGCAUACUUCGCCAGUAUUAGUUGUCUGUGUAGAGAUGUUGCAGCAUGCAGAAGAAGUGUAUACACCAGAAGUGUUUACCUUGUUCCAAAAGGAAUACACUGUCAUCGGUGAUUAUGUCGCAAAAAAGACUAGUAAGUCUGAGAUGGUGUAUGAAUAUAAUGUAUCUUAUCGUGGAGUUGCACGAGAGCAUUUGGUUAAGUAUGAUGCUGCAGACCAAACGAUACAUUGUAGUUGCAUGAAGUUUUCAUUUGCUGGGAUCUUAUGUCGUCAUGCAUUGAAAGUGUUGGACAAAAAAAAUGUUAGAAGAAUUCCACCUACUUACAUUCUGAAUCGUUGGAGCAAAGAGGCAAAAGCACGAACAGUAUCUUAUUAUCAUUCAGAGACACCUAAUGAAGCCGUGAAGCAAUCGAUUGGAAAGCGAUAUAGUCAUAUUUGUCGUACUUUCCGUGAGAUUGCAUCAGUUGCUGCUGAGCAUAUAGAACUGACAUUGUGUGCAGAUAAAGAUGCGAUUGAGUUGCUAAAAAAAUUGGAGGAAAAGAAAAAAGAACUUGUGAGAGCUAAUAAAUGGAUGCCCCAUAGUUUAGAGGAUAAACUUGUGGAUGAAGAAGAAGAAGAAGAUGAUGAGGAUGUUCCAAACGUACGUGGAAUUAAAAGGAAAAAUCCAUGUGGGCGACCAAAGAACCAAAAAGACGGAUCCCAUGGUCGAUUUAAAAGUGUUCUCGAAAAGAAAAAUCUUGGUACAUCAAGAUCAUCAAGUAAGGCUAGAGCAAAGAAAAAGUUAUCUUUUCAGGAAUCAACUCCUACUCCUGAUACCCAGUUAUCUUUUGCUACCAGCGGUCCGAUCUUACAUAAUGAGCCAUUUUUCUCUCAAGUACCCGAGGAAUCAACUCCUACUCCUGAUACCCAGUUAUCCUUUGCUGCCACCGGUCCGAUCUUACAUAAUGAGUCAUUUCUCUCUCAAGUACCCCAGGAACCAACUCUUACUCCCGAUACCCAUGUAUCUGCUGCUGCCACCAAUCCGACAUUACAUAGUGGGUCAUUUUUCUCGCAAUUACUCCAGAACUUCGACAAGAAUUAUGGCAAUGGUUCAUCGAAAGAUUUCAACAAGAAUUAUGGCGAUGGUUUAUAGGGUCGCAUGUUUUUAUUGAUUUUUUUUUUGUAUUUGAAGAAAAGAUGUUUUGGAAAAACCAGCCAUGGAAUAUUACGUUUUUGACUAAUGCAUACAUGUGGCCAUUUUUGAACUCUCUGCAUAUUCGUUGAGCUUUUAUUACAGAGUACUAAUUUAAACUUACUUUCACUUAGAUUACACAAAAACACUGGCCACUACAUAUUUAUAGAGAAAACUGAUUCUUUUCAAUUACAUUACACACCAUUGGCCACUAUAUAUUUAUAGAGAAAACGGAACAGUACUCUCGAUCUUCUCUAUAGCCUUAUUUUAACUUAUACUUUGGAGUACUAAUUUUGAUAUAUAGCACAUACUUUUGACUUAUACUUUGGCUACUACAACAAGCAAACUCACAUGUUUGUUUUUUUCCUUGACUUGUUGCUCUUCUUUUCCCAUGUUUUUUUAAUGUUUUCUGUAUUUCAAGAUUAAUCAAAGAUGAAAUUCCAACACUCCUCACAAAUCUAUUUAUUAAUAACCAAAGUUCAGUCUAGGAGUUUGAUCCUUGUUAUUCCUCGAUCUUUGUUGGGAAUCUUCUUAUUCCCUGGACCAAUCCCUUUGACUACAUUAACAGAACUCAUUUAUAUAUUUGCUUUUGCAGCGUGCAACUUGUUCUGAUUGUUCAACCUUGGAAUGAUUACUUUCUUGCUUCCUUCCUUGCCUUCGUUCUGAUCUUGUAUAAUUUUAGCUUAGCAUUGAAUCUCUUCUUCAUGUACAAAUUGUACAAUCUUAUAUGGUGAGUUCCCUUUGAAAUCAUGAGACUCCCUCUUGCUGAGACUUCCUCUUGCUUGAUUCUCAAAAUCUUUUUGUUCACUGAUUUGUUUUAUUUUCUUCUGAGUUUUCUCCAUAUCUACAACCAGCUUCCCAUUAGCUUUCUUCACAUCUCCUAUAGUUGGUUUUUCAACCAGCUGUUGCUCACUCUCAGAAACUGAAUAUGACAUGGCGAAUGGUGAUUGGAUGGUGAACCUCUAGAUUCACCCUAGGGGGUGAACCUAAGAAUUUCUCCCUUAAAAAUACAUUACGUAAACGAAAGUAGAAACUAAAAAUAUCUGCUAUCUUCACAACUCCAUUUAGCAUACAAUGAAAAUUUUUAAUAUAUUUUUUUAAAAUUAAAAUUUGUGAGAAUUAUUAUACGACACAUUUUAUAUCUUUAUAUAAAAUCACGGUUUUAGUUACAUUGUAAUAAAAGUCUAUAUAAAUUUUAAUUUUUUUGAUCAAAUAUAAAUGUUAAUUAAAUUUAUAAUAAUUGAUGAUAAAUCACAUUUUAAUUUCUUUAA